AGUUUCUCCAAUGCUUGGACAUACCUGGUUAUAUUAAGCAGUUUGUCACAAUUGUUUGCCAUGUACUGCCUGUUGCUGUUUUACAAAGUCCUAAAGGAAAAGUGUAGCCCUAUAAAACCUGUUGGCAAGUUUCUCUGUGUGAAACUCAUGGUUUUUGUUUCCUUUUGGCAAGCAGUACUUAUUGCAUUGUUGGUUAAAAGUGAGCUUUUUUUUUCUUUUUUUCAGAAAAGCGUACCUGGGAAUGACAAAGUGCAGAAGCUGUGGCCAUAGGCCUGCAGGGUUUCAUAACCUGCAUUUAAAUAUUCUUUGUGGCAAUUGCUCAUCACUAUACGUUCU
rnacentral:lncRNA from 1 species